UACGAAGGGGGCUAGCGUUGUUCGGAAUUACUGGGCGUAAAGGGCGCGUAGGCGGCCGAUCAAGUCAGGCGUGAAAGCCCCGGGCUUAACCUGGGAACUGCGUUUGGGACUGGUUGGCUUGAGUUCGGGAGAGGAGAGUGGAAUUCCCAGUGUAGAGGUGAAAUUCGUAGAUAUUGGGAAGAACACCGGUGGCGAAGGCGGCUCUCUGGACCGAUACUGACGCUGAGGCGCGAAAGCGUGGGGAGCAAACAGG
rnacentral:rRNA from 1 species